UACGUAGGGUCCGAGCGUUGUCCGGAGUUAUUGGGCGUAAAGAGCUCGUAGGCGGCUUGUCGCGUCGUCCGUGAAAACCUGCGGCUCAACUGCAGGCUGGCGGUCGAUACGGGCAGGCUGGAGUUCGGUAGGGGAGACUGGAAUUCCUGGUGUAGCGGUGAAAUGCGCAGAUAUCAGGAGGAACACCGGUGGCGAAGGCGGGUCUCUGGGCCGAUACUGACGCUGAGGAGCGAAAGCGUGGGGAGCGAACAGG
rnacentral:rRNA from 1 species